AGAUCAGCCCUGGGGUUCAGAGGGAUCCUGACGGCUACUCCUCAAGAUCCUCUCUGUUGUGAUUCAUCCCCCCCAGGCCCUACAGUUUCUCCUUCCUGACUCUUACAUUUCUUUGGAUGGCAUCACUAUUAAACUAACUACUAAGUCUCUAUUGGUCAACCAUGUUGGCCAGGCUGGUCUUGAACCCUAGACCUUGUGAUCCACCCGCUUCGGCCUCCAAAAGUGCUAGGAUUACAGGCAUGAGCCACCGUGCCCGGCCCAGAGAGUCUUAAAUACCUGUCUCCUCCCAUAGUUAGUUGCCAAGCACUGUGGAUUCUACCCCUCAGGGUCCAGACACCCAUUUUCCUUCCCACUGUUCCCUCCCCAUGGAGAAGCCUGUGGCUGACUGACAGCUCAACUUGGAGAAGGUGUUACCUGGGCCAGGUGGGGAAGGUAGGGUUGUUUGCAGAGCAAAGAAGUGAAGCAGAACCAACCCCUCCUCUUCUUCCUCCCCCUCAGCCUAUUCAAUGUGAAAAAGAUGAGGGCGAAGACCUUUAUGAUGAUCCAAGUAAUGAACACACUGGAGAAAGUCAAACAGUCAAAACAAUGUCCCAGACUCCGUGAAGUUCCUGGGUAGAGAAGUAGACAGACGUACACCAUACCUAAUAAUUGGAGGUCCAAGAGAAUGAGAGAAUGGCAGAAAGAACUUUAGAGCAUGGGUAUGAUGGCUAGAGCUUGAGCAGCC
rnacentral:antisense_RNA from 1 species